GAUGAACGCUGACAGAAUGCUUAACACAUGCAAGUCAACUGUGGCGGACGGGUGAGUAACGCGUAAAGAACUAGCCUCACGGAUAGGGACAACAUUUGGAAACGAAUGCUAAUACCUGAUACUGUGAGAGAGCUUGGCGUCCCAUUAGCUAGUUGGAGAGGUAACGGCUCACCACGGCGAUGAUGGGUAGCCGGACUGAGUGGGUGAUCGGCCAUAAGGGGACGGGGACACGGCCCUUACUCCGACGGGAGGCAGCGGUGGGGAAUAUUGGACAAAGGACCAAAGUCUGAUCCAGCAAUUCGGUGUGCACGAUGAAGUUUUCGGAAUGUAAAGUGCUUUCAGUUGGGAAGCGGUACCAACAGAAGAAGUGACGGCUAAAUACGUGCCAGCAGCCGCGGUAAUUC
rnacentral:rRNA from 1 species